rnacentral:rRNA from 1 species
GACGAACGCUGGCGGCGUGCUUAACACAUGCAAGUCGAACGGAAGGGCCCUGCUUUUGUGGGGUGCUCGAGUGGCGAACGGGUGAGUAACACGUGAGUAACCUGCCAUUGACUUUGGGAUAACUUCAGGAAACUGGGGCUAAUACCGGAUAGGAGCUCCUGCUGCAUGGUGGGGGUUGGAAAGUUUCGGCGGUUGGGGAUGGACUCGCGGCUUAUCAGCUUGUUGGUGGGGUAGUGGCUUACCAAGGCUUUGACGGGUAGCCGGCCUGAGAGGGUGACCGGCCACAUUGGGACUGAGAUACGGCCCAGACUCCUACGGGAGGCAGCAGUGGGGAAUAGUGCACAAUGGGCGGAAGCCUGAUGCAGCAACGCCGCGUGCGGGAUGACGGCCUUCGGGUUGUAAACCGCUUUCGCCUGUGACGAAGCGUGAGUGACGGUAAUGGGUAAAGAAGCACCGGCUAACUACGUG